rnacentral:rRNA from 1 species
GAUGAACGCUGACAGAAUGCUUAACACAUGCAAGUCUACUUGAUUUAUGGUUUCGGCCGUAAUGAUGGUGGCGGACGGGUGAGUAACGCGUAAAGAAUCUGCCCUUUAGACUGGGAUAACAGUUGGAAACGACUGCUAAUACCGGAUAUUAUGGAACCAUCGCAUGAUGGAAUCAUGAAAGCUAUAUGCGCUAGAGGAGGACUUUGCGUCCCAUUAGCUAGUGGGUGAGGUAACGGCGCACCAAGGGGACGAUGGGUAGCCGGCCUGAGAGGGUGAUCGGACACAAGGGAACUGAGACACUGUCCUUACUCCUACGGGAGGCAGCAGUGGGGAGUAUUGGACAAUGGGCCACAAGCCUGAUCCAGCAAUUCUGUGUGCACGAUGAAGGUCUUCGGAUUGUAAAGUGCUUUCAGUAGGGAAGAAUAAAUGACGGUACCUACAGAAGAAGCGACGGCUAAAUAUGUGCCAGCAGCCGCCGUAAUAC